AUUGAACGCUGGCGGUAGGCCUAACACAUGCAAGUCGAACGCGAAAGUCCUUCGGGAUGAGUAGAGUGGCGGACGGGUGAGUAACGCGUAGGAAUCUAUCCUGUAGUGGGGGAUAACGUUUCGAAAGGAACGCUAAUACCGCAUACGCCCCACGGGGGAAAGCGGGGGAUCUUCGGACCUCGUGCUAUAGGAAGAGCCUGCGUCGGAUUAGCUAGUUGGUGAGGUAAAGGCUCACCAAGGCGACGAUCCGUAGCUGGUCUGAGAGGAUGAUCGGCAAUACAGAAACUGCGACACGGUCCGGACUCCUACGGGAGGCAGCAGUGGGGAAUAUUGCGCAAUGGGCGAAAGCCUGACGCAGCCAUACCGCGUGUGUGAAGAAGGCCUUCGGGUUGUAAAGCACUUUCAGUGGGGAGGAAAAGCUGGUGGCUAAUAUCCAUCGGCCGUGACGCUACCCACAGAAGAAGCACCGGCUAAUUCCGUGCCAGCAGCCGCCGUAACAC
rnacentral:rRNA from 1 species